UACGGAGGGGGCUAGCGUUGUUCGGAAUUACUGGGCGUAAAGCGUGCGUAGACGGCUAUCUAAGUCGGGUGUGAAAGCCCCGGGCUCAACCUGGGAAUUGCAUUCGAGACUGAAUAGCUAGGGUGCGGUAGAGGGAAGCGGAAUUUCCGGUGUAGCGGUGAAAUGACGUAGAUAUCGGAAGGAACAUCAGUGGCGAAAGCGGCUUCCUGGACCAGCACCGACGUUCAGGCACGAAAGCGUGGGGAGCAAA
rnacentral:rRNA from 1 species